UAGUCUCCCUUCAGGAGGCUAAGGUGGAAGAAUUGCUUGAGCCCAGGAGUUUGAGAUGGCAGUGAGCUCUGAUUGUGCCAUUGCAUGGGCCAACUGGGCAGGUCCACUUAGACACAAUUUUUAAAAAAUAAAUAUAUUGGAAAAAUUUUAGAGAUUUGCAAUAAUUUGAAAAACAAAUGAGCUGCAUAGCCUAGAAAUGUUGAAAACAUUGCUCAUCCGGGCCCCACGGCCAGCAGAGUUGGCCCCACUCUGUGGCCACCGGGGCCUGUGCACCGGAAUCGCCGUGGCCUGUGCACCCCGCCUCACCAGUUUGAACCUCCAUGGCCUCAACCAGAUUUGGAAUGUCAAAAGCAGAGUGUUUAUUUGAGGAGUUUGAGGAAAUCGGGAACUUUGGGCCACUCAGGCUCUCUAGAUGAGACCACCCAUGAAAGACUAGCAGAGGAAAUGCUAGACUCCUUAACAGAGUUUUCGAAGACCUUGCGGACAAGCCAUACAUGUUUUUUAAGGACUAUGAUGUUUUCUUUGGGAGUGGCAUCUUAACUGCUAAACUGGGUAGAGAUCCAGGAACCUACGUGAUCAAUAAGCAGACACUAAACAAGCAAAUCUGGUUAUCUUUUCCAUCCUGUGGACCCAAGUGUUAUGACUGGACUGGGGAAAACUGGGUGUACUCCCACUAUGGUGAUGGCACGUCCCUCCAUGAGCUGCUGGCUGCACAGCUCAUUAAAGCCUUAAAAAUCAAACUGGACUUGUCUUCCUUGGCCUAUUCCAGGAAAGACUCAUGUUGCCCAGCCCAGUUUUAAGGACAUUAAAAGCUGUCAUACAAAGACCCCAGCUUCAUUAUGCAGCUGAGGUCUGUUGUUUUUUUUUUUUUCAUUCCUGCUUUUGAGGACAGUUCGGCUAUGUGUAACAGCUCUGUGGAAAGAGUAUGUUGCCUCCUACCUUGCCGCCACGUUCUGAUUUUUAAUUUCUAUGGGAGAUUUUUUUGGAUUCACUGAUUUCCUCCCUCACAUGAUAUCCCUUAUAUUUUAUAAUAUCUUAUGCCUAUACCUAAAUAUAACAACCUUUAAAAAAGCAAAAUGAUAAGAAGAAAAAAUUCCAGGAGAAAUGAAUUGUUUUCACUCUUGAUUCUUUGAAGGAUUUACUACAAGAAGUACAUGAUGAGCAGCUCGUCAACCUGCUCACUGUUCUGUCUCAAAAUGAGACACGUUAAAGGGGAGCCUACAAAUGUUCCUGGGCUUCUUUCAAAGUGUGAGCACUUCUGAGCUCUUUAGUAUUGAAGUGUCGAAAGCAACUCACAUGGGAAGACCAUUUCUUAUUUGUGCUUUGUGACUGCCAGGGCGUGGCCUGCACUGGGUUGUCCAGGGAGACCUAGUGCUGUUUCUUCUACAUAAUCAUUUGCAUGCGCAUGUGCACGCACACGCAUGUUUGUAUACAUAUUUUUUCAAUUUAAGGGUUAGUACGGAAUCAGCUGCUACAAGAAUGCAAAAAAUCUUCCAAAGACAGGAAAGGAGGAAAAAAAGCCAUUUUCAUGAGCUGAGUGCUGUAGCAUAAUAAAAUCAUGGAGCUGAGGAGGUGCUUUGUAAAUGUGAAGGCAUGUAUAAAGAGAUACUCAUGCUCAUGUUGAUAAAAAGAGCCCUGGUCCUAGACAUAGUUCAGUCACAAAGUAGUUGUUUCUUUGUGGACAAGUUUUCCAAACUCCCUGGACCUCUGCUUUCCCCACUGUUAAUUGGGAGGAUAGAGUAUGGUUGAUUCAUAGCAUUCAGUGGUCCUGCCAAGCAGCCUAACAGGCUACCUUUAAUUCUCAUUGGGUAGAUGAGGGGAUGACAAAGAACAGUGUUAAAGCUAUAUGGGAAACAUUGUUAUUGGUGUUGCCCUAUCCGGAUUUCAGUUGAAUUCAUGUAAAAAUAAUAGUCAUCCUUUAUUGUACCCUUAUUGGGUUAAGCACAUUAUACCAUAUUACUGCAUUUUAAUUUUUACUGACCUGCACUUUUUAUAUGAAGCAACAAGGCCCCAGGACAUGAAAACUCAUACAAAGUUAUGCUCAUGUGAUACUAUUUUCUUACUUAAAGAAGGAUUUAUUAGUGACAAGUUUGUAUUAAUUUGUAGCAAAGGCUUUUCUAAUGGGUGAAUAAAAACACAUUCCAUUAUAGU